rnacentral:rRNA from 1 species
UACGGAGGAUGCGAGCGUUAUCCGGAUUUAUUGGGUUUAAAGGGUGCGCAGGCGGAUUUUUAAGUCAGCGGUCAAAUCGUGGAGCUCAACUCCAUCCAGCCGUUGAAACUGACGGUCUUGAGUGGGCGAGAAGUAUGCGGAAUGCGUGGUGUAGCGGUGAAAUGCAUAGAUAUCACGAAGAACUCCGAUUGCGAAGGCAGCUCACUGGACUGCAACUGACACUGAGGCUCGAAAGUGUGGGUAUCAAACAGG